CUAAUACCGGAUAUGACGCAUGAUCGCAUGGUCGUGUGUGGAAAGCUUCGGCGGUGCAGGAUGGGCCCGCGGCCUAUCAGCUUGUUGGUGGGGUAGUGGCCUACCAAGGCGACGACGGGUAGCCGGCCUGAGAGGGCGACCGGCCACACUGGGACUGAGACACGGCCCAGACUCCUACGGGAGGCAGCAGUGGGGAAUAUUGCACAAUGGGCGGAAGCCUGAUGCAGCGACGCCGCGUGAGGGAUGACGGCCUUCGGGUUGUAAACCUCUUUCAGCAGGGAAGAAGCUUUCGGGUGACGGUACCUGCAGAAGAAGCACCGGCUAACUACG
rnacentral:rRNA from 1 species